UCAUUGGGGGACUUGAAAGUAACACAGAGAUUGUUAAAGAAGAUGAAAAAAGUCUGCCGCAAAUGACAUAGACUGUAUCCUUUGAGUCAUCCAUGAAACUCACAGAAACAGCUGUAAUUGGUCGCUCUUUUACCAUUCGAGUUACAGAUAAAAAUGUUGAAACUGACCCUUAAAGUCUCCACAUUUCGACACUGGAGGAUUUUUCUUUUCCUUCAAGAAGCAAACAAAAUGUGGACAUUUUCAAAAGAGAAUACAGCUGUCACAUUCACGACCCCUCAAACUUUGGACAACCCCCACAGCCCUGCGCAGAACAACAGUACAGCACUGCCAUGCCCCUCACACAUUGAUUCUCCUCCCGAGGGUCCAAACCAAUUUCUCUUGUUUUCAGACUCUCUCCCUGCCUGAACCUGCAGUGGCCAUCAAAGACAUUCAUCCAUCCGCCCAGGAUGACUAUGACUGAUCUGGCCUCCAAACGAUCAAUUUGUAUCCCUUUCUCUUUCUUCUCUUUCUCUUUCGCUUUCUCUCUUCGUCUCCUUCACUCCAUUCUCCGGCUGUUUUGUUGAUGUGCAGAAUAUGAUGAAAAAGCGAGAGUGCGGAUUGCUGUGACACCACGGCAUGUGAGAGUAACAAUGCAAUCACUAUUUGACCUUGGUGAACAGCUAAUUCAUAUGUUCAUCUAUCUGUGUUUUUGACACCUAACUUUUCAUUUCAGUGUGGGCCAACAGAUCAUCCAUGCACAGAGGCGAUCAUACGUCUUUACCUGCAGGAUUUUGUCACUAAACCAUCAAUACUGGGAUGUUUAGUCACAAAAGAGCGUAUAAACUGUACAGGAGUUGAGAUUGGCUUCAGUAUGCCUGAUUUACUCAGCAGUAUAUGUCUCCCUUUCAUUCAUUAAGCUGUAAUUGGAUGCGAUUCUCAUCCAGGAAUGCAGCAUCCUCACAUUCCUCCAAGGCAUGCAAGGUGAUGAUGACAGUGUUAGAAAGAGCUGUUAAUCCAUCUUGUAAUUGCAGUAAGCAGACGGCAGGGUUGGUCGAGUCUGUGAAAAGGCUGCGAAAGAACAUUUGUCACCAGACGGGAACAAUAGGAGGCGUUAUGUAUUUUGGUGCAUGUGUGAUGAAGGCUUUUGUGAUGGUGUGAUUCUGCACACGUGAUGCUGGUCUUUGCAUUAAUAUACGGCUAAUGCUAAUGGUUGUUUGUGUGUGCACCGUGGGGUUUUAAUGCGUGUGCUGGGGGACCUUUUUUCUUUUCUAUUCACAGACAAUUUGUAAGCCGGCUGUUGAAGCCCGGCCGAGGUCCAUGGAACAGCUGGAGCCCCUCCAUGAUUGAUAAACGCGGCAGCGAGAACUUCAUCUCCCCCUGAAUGAAGACAAAGGCCCCACAAUGCUGAGCCAGUGUGUUUCGCCUGCCUGUCGUUAAGUGCGGACGGCGGACCUGCCCCGGUCCUCAGCUGGGGGAGUCGAGGUGCCAAGAGGGAGGUCAGGACCCAAACUAAUUACCAUUUUAUGACAAAACGGUCUUUUGUCGUCGUUAUAUAAUUGAUUUACCUUUCAGGGGGAGAUCAUUAUGAAGUGGCUUUAAGAGGGUGAGAUUAAAAGGGGGCAAGAGGGAUUAGCUUCACUUGUACGUGCUCUCAGUCUAUAUGUCUACCAGUAUAAGCACAACAGUGAGGUGAGUACAGUUUAAGGAAAGAAAUAAAAUGCAUGUUUGCAAUGCGAGAACCCCGGACAACAACAUUUAACGCAUUUAUUUACACCCUGUCAGAUAAAAACAUGAAGAAAUAACAGUUUAAAAAAGACGAAGACGAGUUGAAAAAAUAAAAUCUAGUUGUUAUUGAAAAAGUAGUAAUUGGUGACCCAGAGAUUGAACAUGUGCUGUGAGCAGCUCUGUGCACCCACCAUGAAAACCACAGACAAAUCAGCAUCAACCACCGUGCAUGAUUAAAAACAUAUCAGCAUGUUGUAUUGAUUCCCACAGAUAUCAGCUCACGCAGAGACACAUUUUAACAGAGACGUGUUCAGAGGUUCGCUGCCUCGCUGUCGUAAACUUUUGCUUAGUUUGUGACCCAUGCAGGAGCAGGUCAGUGAGUCAGAUCAGGGCCAGCUUUGUCAAAGUCACCAUGUGGUGAUAAUCGUUAUAUUGGGCAGGGAUGAAUCCCACACGGGGAUCUGUUUCCUGUGACUACACAUCGUACUGGAAAAAUGUGUGGAAGCAUUUUGAUUUUUUGAGGGUUUUUUUGUCACCCUCACAGUCAAAGCUUUUAUUAUUCGAAAACUCAAACUCAUACAUCUAUUCAAUGCAUUAUUUGCUUGUGUGUACAACCUUUUGUUGCGAGCACUCUCCUCUGGUGUGAAACAGAUGUUUUUUAAAUGUGCCCCCAACUUUCUUUGUGUCUCAGGGAGCAGUGUAGCCUCGGUACAUCCAUCCUUG